rnacentral:rRNA from 1 species
UACGUAGGGUGCGAGCGUUGUCCGGAAUUAUUGGGCGUAAAGAGCUCGUAGGCGGUGUGUCACGUCGGCCGUGAAAACCUGCAGCUUAACUGUGGGCGUGCGGUCGAUACGGGCAUCACUGGAGUUCGGCAGGGGAGACUGGAAUUCCUGGUGUAGCGGUGAAAUGCGCAGAUAUCAGGAGGAACACCGGUGGCGAAGGCGGGUCUCUGGGCCGAUACUGACGCUAAGGCGCGAAAGCGUGGGGAGCGAACAGG